ensembl:lncRNA
UUGAGGUUCCUGUGUAUCUGAGGUCUUCCAAAGUGCAUCGGGACAGCCUUCAGACAGCUUUGGAAGACUCCAGUCUCAAAGGGAAGAGAGAAAAAAACCAACAGGUUAAGUGGUGCCUGGAAUUAUUCCUGUUGGACUGUAAACUUGUCAGCACAGCACUGCCAGCCCAGAGCCACACACACAUUGCAGGAGUGAUGUGAAGAGGGGCAGAAGGAUACAAAGCAGAAGGCUCAGAGGUUGGAGCCGAAGGCUGGAGGUGGACAUCCAGAUCCAGUUUGACUUGAGAGGAGCCCUGUCACCAAGGUGAUCGUGCAGCUGGUUUUCCAAUGUUUCUAAUACUCACUAAAUUUCUAUGAGCUUUCUAUUGAACUCCUAUUUCUUCUGAUACUGGCUCAGCAAUUGGAUCACCCCCGUGGCCAUUUAAGUAUAAGAUAGUUAGCAAGCCUACAUUUUAGAUUAACUGUACAGCAAAACAGUGUUGCAUGUCAUCACACAAAAACAUUCCUGAGUGCUGAAGGGUUGGUUGGCUGUUCUUGCAGGCUGUUCUCCCUGGCAUUGAAACACCUGUGUGGGUGCAGUCAGACCUGUGGGAGGCUGUGAUAAUGGAUGACGAAUUAAGUCCGAAGUCUUCUUCCUGAAAUGGGGUUGGCUGGCUGAGCUCCUGGACGUCACAGCUCCCUCUGUACAGCCACAGAGAUAGUUGCCUGUAGCACCUCCAGCCCUACUGUCACAGCUUCAGAUGUCAUUUGUUUCCAAAUAACGAGGCACAUCCCGUUGUGAUGUUCUGAUCCAGCAAACAGCCUCCGCUCUUCUUGUUCACUGGGGAAUGUACAUGCCUUGUGGAAGCUACUGCAGCAACAUUGAAGAGAAGGGAGUUCUCACAAUUGAAGCCAGCAGCCCUAUUUGUCUCUUCUGCUGAAGGAAAGCUAAACAUGCAAAUCGGGCAGGCGGCUGAGGAUCGUAAAAGGACGAGCAGGGUGCAAUAUACACAGGGAGGAAAACAAAGAGAGAUGAGUCCUGACAGCAGAGAAAUUAUACCUGGCUUCAUGUGAGGGCACAGACCUGGCCCUGGCUGCCCCAAGAUCACUGCACACUGCCAGCCAAGCUGUUCUCAUGCUUAAUUUACAGCCUGCAAGGUUCAUGCACCACCUAAUGAAAAAUCGCGAUGGGAACUUUGCAGGAGAAAGUAGGACAGUUGGCACAUUAUUCACAUUUCAGCAGAGGAGGGGAGAGCUCCUUUUGCCUCGAGAACUGACCUCAUGGUGGUUUGACCUGCACAGAGGGCUGUCAUCGGGGCUUUAUGAUCAUUCCAAUUUGGAUUGUAACGUUAUGCUGAAAGUAACACUGGACUCUAUUAUCUUGCUUUGCCCUUUCCAUAAUUCAACGCCAUGUUUGCAGCAUAGCAGCAGUUCGAGGAGUUUGAGAAGUUUUGGUGGAGGUAGUCCAGCCUCGAUGCUGAGCAUUGCUCAGCAGCAUCGUUCACUCUGGAUACAUCUCACGUGUGGGAAAAACAAUAAGAAUUACCUCAAGAUUACUCAUGUCCUCAAUUAGAAAUUGUUUUUCUCCUGUGACUUGUGUUGUUGGUAGCUGAAAUGGCUGUUCACACUACAAGUGGCCUUUUAUUCACCUGCCUUCAAGCACCCAGAGGCACCAACCAACUCCUUCCCUCCUUCCAUGAGGUUCUCUCUCUCUCUGUGGCUGAUAUUACCAAACUGAUAUCUUUAUUCUCACUGAUUUCAGGUGAAGCUUCUUUCUCCCCGUGAGUACCCAUCAGUCACUUCUCCAUUCAAGAGGCAGAACAUUGCUACCCAGACCUGCAUCUAAAAAGUACGAUUUUCUUGACAACACCAGUUGUUUCUCGCAGUCCACGUUCAGAAGGUCCCAUGGACAGAAUUACACUUUAUCCACUUGAACUUUCAUAGUUUCCAGAAGUUCAUACGAUCUUUUCCAAACUCCCCAUGUUACACAAUUUCCUUGUUCUUUGGAGCAACCUCUCAGGCAGAAGGGUAUUACUAUAUCUAUAGCUGUAGUCCCAGGUAAUUGAAUUCUCCUCUUCCUCUACAAUUUGGCUCUGAAUCACGUUCUUUUUAAAUAAUAAAGUAAAAUACAAAAUAAACAUG